rnacentral:rRNA from 1 species
ACUCCUACGGGAGGCAGCAGUGGGGAAUAUUGCACAAUGGGCGAAAGCCUGAUGCAGCCAUGCCAGCGUGUGUGAAGAAGGCCUUCGGGUUGUAAAGCACUUUCAGUAGGGAGGAAAGGGUAUUGCUUAAUACGCAAUAUGCUGUGACGUUACCUACAGAAGAAGGACCGGCUAACUCC